UACGUAGGUGGCGAGCGUUAUCCGGAAUUACUGGGUGUAAAGGGUGUGUAGGCGGGAGUGCAAGUCAGACGUGAAACUUAUGGGCUCAACCCAUAAACUGCGUUUGAAACUGUGCUUCUUGAGUGUGGGAGAGGUAAACGGAAUUCCUGGUGUAGUAGUGAAAUGCGUAGAUAUCAGGAGGAACACCGGUGGCGAAGGCGGUUUACUGGACCAUAACUGACGCUGAGACACGAAAGCGUGGGGAGCAAACAGG
rnacentral:misc_RNA from 1 species